AGCAGCCGCGGUAAUUCCAGCUCCAAUAGCGUAUAUUAAAGUUGUUGCAGUUAAAAAGCUCGUAGUUGAAUUUCGGGAUCAGUAUGUUGGUCGUGCUUCGGUACGUACUGUCAUUACUGGUUUCUACCUUCUGAAGAACCUUGAUGUCAUUAAUUUGGUGUCUUGGGGAAUCAGGACUGUUACUUUGAAAAAAUUAGAGUGUUUAAAGCAAGCAUACGCUUGAAUACAUUAGCAUGGAAUAAUGAAAUAGGACGUUUGAUUCUAUUUUGUUGGUUUCUAGGAUCGACGUAAUGAUUAAUAGGGAUAGUUGGGGGCAUUAGUAUUCAAUUGUCAGAGGUGAAAUUCUUGGAUUUAUUGAAGACUAACUACUGCGAAAGCAUUUGCCAAGGAUGUUUUCAUUAAUCAAGAACGAAAGUUAGGGGAUCGAAGACGAUCAGAUACCGUCGUAGUCUUAACCAUAAACUAUGCCGACUAGGGAUCGGAUGAUGUUAUUUUAAUGGCUCAUUCGGCGCCUUACGGG
rnacentral:rRNA from 1 species